GCUGGGCGUGGUGACGCACACCUGUAGUCCCAGCUACUCGGGAGGCUGAGGCAGGAGAAUCGCUUGAAACCGGGAGCUGGAGGUUGCAAUGAGCAAAGAUCACACCACUGCACUCGAGCCUGGGUGACAGAGUAAGACUCUGUCUCAAAAAUAAAUAACUAAUAAAUUUUUGAGACGGAGUUUCACUUUUGUCGCCCAGGCUGGACUGCAGUGGUACCAUCUCAGCUCAGUGCAACUUCUGCCUUCCAGCUUCAAGUGGUUCUCCUGCCUCA
rnacentral:sRNA from 1 species